rnacentral:rRNA from 1 species
AGUGAACGCUGGCGGUAGGCCUAACACAUGCCAGUCGAACGGCAGCACAGUAAGAGCUUGCUCUUACGGGUGGCGAGUGGCGGACGGGUGAGGAAUACAUCGGAAUCUACUUUUUCGUGGGGGAUAACGUAGGGAAACUUACGCUAAUACCGCAUACGACCUACGGGUGAAAGCAGGGGAUCUUCGGACCUUGCGCGUUUGAAUGAGCCGAUGUCGGAUUAGCUAGUUGGCGGGGUAAAGGCCCACCAAGGCGACGAUCCGUAGCUGGUCUGAGAGGAUGAUCAGCCACACUGGAACUGAGACACGGUCCAGACUCCUACGGGAGGCAGCAGUGGGGAAUUUUGGACAAUGGGCGAAAGCCUGAUCCAGCAAUGCCGCGUGUGUGAAGAAGGCCUUCGGGUUGUAAAGCCCUUUUGUUGGGAAAGAAAAGCAGCAGUUUAAUACCCCGCUGUGCUGACGGUACCCAAAGAAUAAGCACCGGCUAACUUCGUG